AGCUCCAAUAGCGUAUAUUAAAGUUGUUGCCGUUAAAAAGCUCGUAGUCGAACUUCGGUCCCUGUUGGUCGGUCCGCCUUCUUGGUGUGUACUUACUCAACGGGGACUUACCUCCUGGUGAGCUGCGAUGUCCUUUACUGGGUGUCGUAGGGAACCAGGACAUUUACUUUGAAAAAAUUAGAGUGUUCAAAGCAGGCCUACGCCCGAAUACAUUAGCAUGGAAUAAUAGAAUAGGACGCGCGUUCCCAUUUUGUUGGUUUCUGAGAUCGCCGUAAUGAUUAAUAGGGAUAGUUGGGGGCAUUCGUAUUCCGUCGUCAGAGGUGAAAUUCUUGGAUUGCCGGAAGACGAACUAUUGCGAAAGCAUUUGCCAAGGAUGUUUUCA
rnacentral:rRNA from 1 species